ensembl:lncRNA
AUCGCGGAGUGAUUUAUUAUUAGCUGUGAAAAGUCCGAGUUGGGAUGUCCUGGGAUAUUCCAACUCAUGGAACGUCUCUCGUCCAAUCAGAAACAGCUAAAUAAUUUGAUAGAACCCAAUUGUUUUAUAAUGGACACUAAUGAGACUUACACCACCUAAUUACAUCUCUGCUGUGAUUCGGCCAGACUUACACCACCUAAUUACAUCUCUGCUGUGAUUGGACGAGACUUACACCACCUAAUUACAUCUGUGCUGUGAUUGGACGACUGAGACUUACACCACCUAAUUACAUCUCUGGGCUGGUCUGUAGAAUGUUGAGGUGGUCUGUAGAAUGUUGAGGUGGUCUGUAGUAGACUGAUGUGGUCUGUAGAAUGUUGAGGUGGUCUGUAGAAUGUUGAGGUGGUCUGUAGUAGGCUGAGGUGGUCUGUAGAAUGUUGUGGUGGUCUGUAGAAUGUUGAGGUGGUCUGUAGAAUGUUGUGGUGGUCUGUAGUGGGCUGAGGUGGUCUGUAGAAUGUUGAGGUGGUCUGUAGAAUGUUGAGGUGGUCUGUAGAAUGUUGUGGUGGUCUGUAGUGGGCUGAGGUGGUCUGUAGUGGUCUGUGGUGGUCUGUGGGGCUGAAUAGAGUGGCAUGUUGCACAGGUUACAGUUUUUCUCGAUUGCUUUGGCACAUUUUUCCAUUCACUGUUUAC